rnacentral:rRNA from 1 species
GAUCAUGGCUCAGGAUGAACGCUGGCGGCGUGCCUAAUACAUGCAAGUAGAACGCUGAAGGAAGGAGCUUGCUCUUUCCGGAUGAGUUGCGAACGGGUGAGUAACGCGUAGGUAACCUGCCUGGUAGCGGGGGAUAACUAUUGGAAACGAUAGCUAAUACCGCAUAACAGUAGAUGUUGCAUGACAUUUACUUGAAAGGUGCAAUUGCACCACUACCAGAUGG